UCUCUACAUGUCAAAGUGAAGAAAAUCAACCAAGCAUGGGUAAAUGAUGGGAGUAACUAUGACUCUCUUAAGGUAGCCAUAUGCCUCAUCAUCUAAUUAGGUAUGUGCAUGAAUGGACUAACGCGAUUCCCAUUGUGCCAAGCUACUACCUAGAGAAUCCACAGCCAAUGGAAUGAGCUUUGCAAAAUUAGCGAGGAAAGAAGACCUUGUUGAGAUUGACCCUAGUCUUCCUUUGUGAAAUGACUUGAAAGGUGUAGAAUAAGUGGGAUUUGUUUUCAGUGCAAGUGAAAUACCACUACUUUUAAUGGUAUUUUGUUGGGUAUGUGUUAUAUUCUUUGCAUGAGUAGCAGUGUCUUAGUGUCUGCGCCAGGCGCGCAGGGGGGUUAGAGGGGGGCGGAGCCCACGAAUUUUUUUUUCGGGACGACAUAUUUCCGAGACCACAUGAUAUUUAGGUGGUUUUUUUCGGCACAUGGUUUUUUGCCGAUGGU
rnacentral:ncRNA from 1 species